UAAAGCUUCUUUUGGAAACUUUAUAUUUCUAGAAGAGAGAGACAUGAGAGAUAGAGAUGCAGAUUCUUCGUUUGAGAGAGAAGGAUUUCAUCGGAUCCGUUCGUCGAUCUCUAGCGUUCAAACCCUUAGCCGCCGGCGCCGGAAAUGGCGACCGUGCAGGUGGUUCGUUCGGUGGAUUUGUAGAAAAGAUUGGUUCGAGCAUUCGCAAAUUGAAAAUUUUCUCGAACGCGGGUGCGAUGGGGGUGUUAAUAUACUUCGAUCAGUACGGUGGGGUCGGGGGCGGUACGAAGUGGUUUCCGGAUGACACGUGGUUGCCGCCGAGUGGUGUUCAUGUCGGGUCGGUGUUUAAUGGGGCAGGUGACCCGACAACACCGGGCUGGCCGAGUAGUUUGGAAGGGUGUGAGAGGUUGUCUGAGGAUGAGGUGGAACGGGCCGGUGACGUCCCGUUGAUUCCGUCGUUGCCGAUCUCCGAUGCCGACGGUGAGGAGAUUCUGAGGUGGAUUGGUGGGGUGGUGGCGUUUCCGAUUACUUUUUGGGCCACCUUCUUUCAUGAAGAUCGGUGACCUAGGGUUCCGUCGGGUGCCCCUGAUAGCCAUACGAUCUUGCAUAUACCAAAAUCAAGUUGAGGGGACUAUUAAGGUGAUAAUUACUUAUAUUAUAUUUUGUUACAUCAAAGAAAUCAAAAUACUUUUUAAAAAACAUUUGAAUAUUUAUUGGAAGAAAAAGAACAAACGUGUGCUGGAAUUUUAGAUUGUGAAGAUGGCAAGGUUCAUGGCUUGAAAAGAUCGAAUUUAGUGAGGGGAAUCGAAGAUGACCUCAUCGGUUGUUAUUUAUCUCGAGCUAUAGUAGUCUUUUGUGAUGGUGCCAAUGAUGUUGAUCUUGCUUUUGCAGUUGGUUCUUGCUCCGUGUUUUGCCAUGAUUUUGAUUCGUUAUCUUAGGUAAUCACCGGGAUGCUUGGACAUUUGGAGCUGUUGAUCCCAACAGCGGCACUGCUGCCCUGCUUGAGGUUGUGUUCCAGGUCUGUUUUAAUGGCUAUAUGGCUAUACAAUUAUGAAGUCAAAUAACAAAAAGCUAAAAAAACGAACUUACAAACUCGCACAACAGUGGCUGCACAUCUUCUGUUUCUUUUCAACGGUACCGGGUUUCUUGAAUACCCGGUACAGGUUUAUCAAAUACCUGAACCGUACCCGAACCCGCGUACAUAGGGUAUAGAUUUUCUGGCCAAUACUCGGACCCGAACCCAAUCCAGGCUCACAUCCGCGAGUUGGAAGAAGAGGUGAAGAUUUCAAACAUUUUGGACCCAGAUGUGGAAAAAAAACCUUUGGACAAAAGUUGCAAAACUGGCCAAACCUCUCCUCAGGGACGAAACUGUCAUUUUACUCUUUCUUUUAUUUGUAUUUGACAAUGUUUAAAAAUUUGGUAUGUGGUGGUUUUGUGUAUCUAUUCGCUAAUAUAAAUAGUACAAACACAUACAUAUGCUCUUUACACGGGUCUUAUUAUAAGAGCUCUGCUUAACUAAGUUCAAGUCCUUACUAACCUCAUUUUCUUGAAGGUAUCCGAGUCGUUAAAAGCAUCAAUAAAAUCAGCUUCAUUGGAAGAUGCUUGCCACUUGGCACGCAGUUGUGAUAGACUCAUCCAAGAAGUUGAGAGUCAGGUAGUGGAAGUAUUGAGGCGACAAACAAAGGUCUGAGAUCCUACUCCAGAGAGUGCGUUAAAACUUAAAAACAUGGAAGCAUGGUUAAGUGAGCUCCGAUCUUCGAUGAUCACACUUCAGAAAGAAACAAUCUCCGUGAUGUUGUCGGUAGAGAAACAACAACAACAAAUAACCUUGCAAAAGCUUCUUAUGAUAGUAGAUGCCGAAAGGUCUUAUCGCCGCCACGUUUUGUCUAUUCUAGAGGAGCUACAUGCUGAGCUGAUUUUGGCAAAGGUUAUUGUUCCAUCUGGCGACGUCACUCAACGUGUACACAACAAAAAUAAAGAUUAUGAUUAUUUUAUUGGAAAGAUAAAGGUCAUUCAUCCAUUUGAUGUUCAAGCAAACGGUGAGCUCAGCUUAAAUGUUGAUGAGUAUGUUAUAGUUCGCCAGGUGCCACUCUGUUGCUACGUAUGGUAUUAAGUAAUGCAAAAUCAGAAGGCCGGGUGAUGGGUCAAAAGGGGUAAUUAAUAACAUCAGCCAAAAAGGGUCGGUCAAGUUCACCCAUAAAAACUAAUGCGUUAAAUAUGAUCACAAAAACUACAUUGCUACAAUAUAACAGUUAUAAUCUUAUCGAUUAGUGUAUAAAGAACUUGGAAUCACAAAAGAAGUUCAAGAGUAAGUAAAUAUUGAUGUAGUAGCGUUGAUUAAAUGCUCAUAUGUCUAAUUUAGGGCCAUCAUUUUUGUAUAUGUGAUUUGUAGAUAUGACUGUAGGAAAAAAUAACUUAUGUAAAAAAUACUCUGUAACCGGCCGCAACACGGCGGGUACUUUUCUAGUUAUAUAUAAUAAUAAACUUUUUAUUAGUUUA